AUCCAAGGUGAUUCCCUCUUUGAGGCCAACUAGUGCCCCUCUCAGGAAAGUAGCAAAUUAGAAUUAAAUAUAGCAUGACUAAGGUCUUUGAGGGACAGGGGUUGCUUACUUAUUUUGCCUUUCUUUGUUUGCCUGCAUGU
rnacentral:snoRNA from 1 species